ensembl:lncRNA
CAGGACUUGGAACAAGUGAACAUUAUUGACUCAUUGGUGUGAUAGUCAGGGACCCACGAGGGUGAAACAGAUCCUGCUAAAAGAUGAAUGAAAGUGCCCAAGGGCAUCCAUGAACUCUGGUGAGACAGAAGGAGCAGGACCUGUGCAGUGAGCAUGGAAAUGGGAACUUUCCAUGACACACAGGCUGUGAGCGAGUUUCACUGGAACCACUCAUCUGAGAGCUCGGCCUCUCUCGUCUGUCUGUUUACCAGUUUAGACCCUCAAGGGGAAAAAACUAUUUUUGUCUCCUGUUUCAUGUCUUCAGGAACAUUUGCUAACUUAAGGCAUCAGCUGUCAGAGCUGCAGGAACUUCUGGAAACCACUUAGGCCCUCCAGCCGAGCCCGAUGUUACAGAUGAGGAAACUGAGACACAGGGAGGCUCCAAGGACACGCUGGUAGUGUCUCUGACAGCUAGCCCAGGGCCUUUCAACCUGGCGAGACAUGAAAAUCUCUGCUCCCUGUGCCAGGAGUGGCCUGAUCAUUAGAACAAGACAUUUCGAAGAAAGCUGCCUGUUUACCAUCGUGACCCCCAAACAAAACUUGAAGGAUACCAGUAACUUUUCACAUCAUUUUAAAGAAACAAAGGUUGGUGCUUUAUUUUUGCAAAGGGUAAAAUAUACCAUCAUUUUUGUUCUUUCCCCAACGCAGAAAGGAGACAGUCUACUGGACAGGAGAAAACUCUAGGGCGAGUUGCCAUUUUCAGUUUAUCCCCACGGACAUUUGAACCAAACGACUUGAGUCCUGACCCCUUCGUCCCUAUAGUCCCCCACAGUAAACGCAUCAACUCAUCACAAAUGAGCAGAGACACAUUGGUCUCCUCGGCCAGGUAGCAUCCACAUUCGCGACAGGUGUGCUCCUGCCACCAGGUCCCUGUCCCUCCCUCAGGGGUCCAGACAGGGCCGGACACAGGGGUGGCAGCAUGGUGCCGCCUUUGGUGGCGGGUAGCAGCUCUCUCACCUGUGGGCUCACCAGGCCAGGGCCGUGUCCUUCACCGAGGUGACGGAGGUCUCCUGCUGUCCCUGCAGACGCCGACGAACAGCCCUCGGUGAUAAAGGACCGGGACACGGAGCAAAGGGCCCCUGUCCCCUGCGUCCGGCCCACAGGGUGAACCACAGGCGGGUGUCCGGGCUCAGAGGCCUUCUCUCCAGCCCCGGAGCUUCUUCUGCCGGCCCCUGGGCGCCGGCUGGCCCGGGACGCGGGGCCGAGGCUUCUGAGGGAACAGGCCACCUCUCUCUGCUCCCCUUGCCGCGCCCACAGCCUGGCCCCUGGGACCCAGGACCUCUCCGCACGCCCCACCCAACCUGGCCAUGGAGCAGAAGGCGGGACAAGACCCUUGGGAGCGGCCCUUUGGCGCCAUUGGCGGUUCACAUGCGCGUGGCGGGCGGUCACGGGCACGCGCUUUCUUUGGCCGUGUGCACAGGGCCAGGAAGCGAGCCCGGCCGACCUUGGGGUCCGCCCAUGUCCGCCGCUGGAGGGAGGCCGUGCGGCCCCGAGCGCGUCCCCGCCACAGCCCGCGGGGAGAUCCCGGCCAUGGCCAUGCCAAGCUGGGCUGCUGCAGCCCCACCACCCGCCCCUCAGGGGACAGUGGGGAAACGGAGGCCAGGAGCGCCAGGGACUGGCUGGGCCCUUGAGCUGGGCAGAGGCCCCAGGACAAGAAAUAGAGCCUCCUCCCGUUUGCAUCGCGGCGUCUGUGUUUCCGUUCACUGGCUUAUUCAUCCACUCAUUCACUCAUGGCCUCACUCACUCACUCAUUCAUCCAGUCAUUCAUUCAUUCAGGCCUUCACUUGUUCCUCAUCCGUUCAUUCGUUCAGGUAGGAAUUCAUUCUUUUAAUCAUUCAGCCAGUGGCCUCUAUUCCCUGCUUGUGUGCCCAGCACUGUAACUUCACCAGGGAGCAAAACCCAAUAUGUUUCCUGCCCACGUGGAGCUCAGGUCCCUUGUGUGACAUGAAGAAAAUGUCAGAGAAAUCCCAUGCUGGGCGCUGCCAUCUUGGGUGACCCUUGAUCCCAUGUUCAGGCCCAAGAGCCCAUUACCACGUUUCCUCCAGGCAAAGGCAGACCCUGAGGGCAGCCUGGCUCAGGGAGGCCUGAGGAAGAUGCCCCAUGGGGGCUGAGGGUCUCUGGGCUCAGGGUGGGGAGGCAGGCGGCACAGGGAGGGAAACGGGGUUCCUGGGCCAGGCUGCCGAGAGGCGGGGUGAGUGGGCGCUGGGAGCCACCACCUUGGCUCUGAGCUUGUGUCUUUGCCUCUGUGCCUCUCCCUGGUGAGAAAAGCUCAAACCGUCUACACUACCCCCACCCCUCGCCCCUCGCCCACCCCAUCCCUGUACAGUCCAGAGUGGUGAAAGCCAAGGAGGGGAGAGGCAGGGACAGGGGGAGCCCUGGGCACCGCUUCCCUCACUCCAAUUAGAAAUGUCUGCUCUGGCUCCACCCUCGGCAUGGGCUCCCCUGGUUCCCUACAAACCUCCUUCUCCCUCAGCCCCAGUCCUCACCCACAGAGAGUUGGGCGGGGCUGGCUCUGCAUCUCCAUCCUCCACGGGGGUCUCCCAAGUCCCCCAAGAGGUGCUGCCCAUGCCACUGCCCUCUGCCCAGGCACUCAUCCAAGCUGGAGAGGUGUGCACACCUCAACUCUCAAGAUUCAGGGGUUCCAGAGCCCCCCAAGCACCAGCAGGCUCCCCUCCCACCCUCUGCAGGCCACAGGCCUCUGGUGGAAGAGAGGGAGCUGGGGAACUCAGAGAUGCCCACUGUGGCCUCCCCACCGGGCAGCAUGGCCUCGGUGACCAGUGUGGUGUCCACAAGGAAAUGCAGGGUCUGGUGGGGCUCAUCCCCUGUGAGGUGACAGAGGAAGCCAUGGAGGUCAGCAGAGAAGGCUCUGGAGAGACAGGAAAGUCGUGGCCCCCACCCCAAGCUGAUGGCACCAAGAGAAACUUGCCCACCUACCACAGGACCCUCCUGGCAGCAUCUCCCAGGCUGACCUUUAGGACCCCAUGGCCAUCUUGGGCCACCUUUCUGAGCCACUGGGUCUGGAUGUGGGGACAUGUAGGGUCCUCCCCAGCCCCAGCUAAGAGAGGGGACCUUGGGGAGCUCGCAGAUGAGAGCAGAGCACGCCAGUCCUGGGACUGAGGAAGUUUUGAUGCCACUCUGUGAGUGGACACUGGGCAGAGGUUGGCAGGAAACCCCCCAAUAUAUCUGUGCCCAUUGUAAUCCAGGGCAGGGGACAGCCGGGCACUGCUGUCACAGCCACAGGUUGGCUUUGUGAGCGGAGCUUGGGAGAGGGAGAGGGGGACUGCCAGCACUGGAAAGACACGGGCUUUGACUUUUCAGCUCCUGCUGGGCUGUGGAGCCAGCUGAAGACAGGGCCCAGGAGCUGGGAGAGCCAUCCCCUGCUCCGGCUCCUGCUGGGACUCUGGCCUGGCUGAAGACUCAGCCAUGGAGCAGGGAGAGCCAUGCCCUGCUCCAGCUCCUGCCAGGGCCCAGGAGCAAGCUGAAGUCGCAGCCAGGGAAGAGGGAGAGCCAUCCCCUGCUCCAGAUUCUGCCUGUGCCUGGGAGACUGCUGAAGCCCCAGCCACGGUCCAGAAAGAGCCAUCCACUGAUCUGCCUCCUGCUGGGGCUAGCGAGCCAGCUGAAGCCACAGCUGGAGACCACGGACAGCCAUCCCCUGCUCCACAUCCUCCUGGAAUCCUGGAGCCUGCUCAUGCCCCAGCCCUGUCCUCGGGAGAGCUCACUCUCCAACGCCCAUCAUCCCCAGCUCCUGACCCAUCCCUUUCACCUUCUUCCUCACCACAACCUCCCUUCGUCUCCCACCUUAACCUGUAUAUCUGUGUAGCCGUUUCUAAUUUUCAUUUUCUUGUCUUGUUGUGGUGUUUGUGUCACCUUGAAAUAGAUUUAUGGAUUUAUAUUUUAAGACAUCUGUGUUUUCUCCUUUUAAAUUGUACAAUUCCUGAGCAUUAAGUUCCCAGCUCCUAGAGACAGCCCCCAACAGCUCACUCAUCUAGCAGUCGUCUAGAAGGAGCACCAUGAUUUCCUGUUGUCUUCCCAUGUGCCAGGGCCGCAGCCUCAGCAGAGCCCGCAAGGAGUGCCCAGGAUGCAGAUGCGGGCUCCUGUCCCGCUCGAGACAUCUCAGGACGUUUGUGUGGAGGGACACAAAGAGGUCCACUCGGGACACGGAGUCCAGCUCCCCGAGGGAAGAGAAGCUGGGCAGGAACAGCGUAGCGGCAGGCGUGGGGAAAAGGCUGCCGUCCUCAGGGACUGUUGGACAAGGAUCAGAGCCUGCACAGCACCCAGCCUGUGUGCGGGGAGCACAAUCACAUCCAGCAGCUCCUGCAGAAGGGCAGGAGACAAGCGGCGCCCCAGGACAGGAGGAGGGAGAGGCAGCCCCUACUUAGACUCCUGCAGGAGCCUUGCAGCCGGCUCUCAUGGAACCAGCUGAGCAGGGAGAGCCAUCCCCUGCUCCGGCUCCUGCCAGUGCCCUGGGGCAGGCUGAAGUUGUCGCCAGGGAGCAGGGAGAGCCAUCCCCUGCUCCAGAUCCUCCUGGAGCCCUGGAGCCCGCUCAGGCCCCAGCAUUGUCCCCGGGAGAGCUCACUCUCCAACCCCCGUCAUCCCCAGCUCCUGACCCACCCCUUCCACCUUCUCCCUCACCACGACCUCCCUUCCUCUCCCUGCUUCCCCUGUAUGUCUUCCCUCCUCGGCUUCCCUCCUGCUGCCCUGUC